GACGAACGCUGGCGGCGUGCCUAACACAUGCAAGUCGAACGGGGUAUUUCUUCGGAGAUACUUAGUGGCGAACGGGUGAGUAACGCGUGAGAAACCUGCCUUUCAGUGGGGGACAACAGUUGGAAACGACUGCUAAUACCGCAUAAUGUUAUUUGGGGGCAUCCUUGAAUAACCAAAGAUUUAUUGCUGAAAGAUGGUCUCGCGUCUGAUUAGCUAGUUGGUGAGGUAACGGCUCACCAAGGCGACGAUCAGUAGCCGGUCUGAGAGGAUGAACGGCCACAUUGGGACUGAGAUACGGCCCAGACUCCUACGGGAGGCAGCAGUGGGGAAUAUUGGGCAAUGGGGGAAACCCUGACCCAGCAACGCCGCGUGAAGGAAGAAGGCUUUCGGGUUGUAAACUUCUUUUACCAGGGACGAAGGACGUGACGGUACCUGGAGAAAAAGCAACGGCUAACUACGUG
rnacentral:rRNA from 1 species